rnacentral:rRNA from 1 species
AUUGAACGCUGGCGGCAUGCCUUACACAUGCAAGUCGAACGGUAACAGGUCUUCGGAUGCUGACGAGUGGCGAACGGGUGAGUAAUACAUCGGAACGUGCCUAGUAGUGGGGGAUAACUACUCGAAAGAGUGGCUAAUACCGCAUGAGAUCUACGGAUGAAAGCAGGGGAUCGCAAGACCUUGUGCUACUAGAGCGGCCGAUGGAAGAUUAGGUAGUUGGUUGGGAUAAAAGCUUACCAAGCCGACGAUCUGUAGCUGGUCUGAGAGGACGAUCAGCCACACUGGGACUGAGACACGGCCCAGGCUCCUACGGGAGGCAGCAGUGGGGAAUUUUGGACAAUGGGCGAAAGCCUGAUCCAGCAAUGCCGCGUGCAGGAUGAAGGCCUUCGGGUUGUAAACUGCUUUUGUACGGAACGAAAAGCCCCGGGUUAAUACCCUGGGGUCAUGACGGUACCGUAAGAAUAAGCACCGGCUAACUACGUGCCAGCCGCCGCAGUAA